rnacentral:tRNA from 1 species
CGGGGUGUAGCUCAAUUGGCAGAGCGCCUGGUUUGGGACCAGGAGGUUCUCGGUUCGAUUCCGAGCACCCCGA